AGAAUGAGUUACAUUUUAUUGGCUAUACAAGCAUUAUUUUCUACCAUUCACAGAAAUCUAGAGAACAAAAUGAGAUCAAGUGUCAAAAGUUAUCUUUUUUUUUUUUAAAGUAGCCUCCAUUCUGAGCCUGGAACCCAACAUGGGGCUUGAACUCACAACCCUGAGAUCAAGACUUGAUCUGAGAUCAAGAGUCAGAUGCUUAACUGACUGAGCCACCCGGGUGCCCCUAAAGCUAUAAUUUUUGUACUUUUUUAGAUUUUAAUUUGUAAAUUAAUAGUGCAUACAGCUCAUUAACUUGUAAUAACCAGGUAUAAUACAGAGAUGCUGUAUUCAUUUUAGUUGAGCAAUAGUUAAGUUACAAGAAGAAAUACCUGAUAUCAUGGUAUAUAAGGGCUCCCAAGUGGGAGUAUAUAUAACAAGACUUCAUAUAAAAUGAAUGGGGCCUCUUACUCUUUAAACAUCAUGUCAGUUAGGAUAUAUUUAAUUGCUGGAAUAUGAGAGUGGCCCAAUAAUAAUGGCUGAAACCUUAUAAAAUGUAUUAGUUCACUUAAGAAGUCUGAGGUUGGAGGCUCCAGGAUUGGUUCAGCUUGAAGAGGUUGUUAGGGACCCAGGCAUCUCUUCAUAUUUCCCUUCUGCCUUCUUUGUCUUUCUUCUUGGUUGCAAAAUAGCUGCUGCAGCUCCAAGCAUCGUGUCCUGGUGCAACCAUGACCAAAGCAGAAAGUCUCCACAGUCCAGGGACUUCUUAGAAGCCCUCCAGCAGACUUCUCUUUGAGACUCACUGGAUAGACACAAGAUACACACCCAUCCUAAACCAAUCAUUUAAGAAAAGAAAUAGGAUGGCUAAGAUUGACCUAGCUUGGCUGUAAUUGGUACCUGUAGGACUCUUGGAGUAUAGCUAUAAAACAACUUUUUUUUUUUUUUUUUUUUUUUUUGGCCUCCAAUAGUCCCCUUAAACCUGCUCAAGGGGAAGAAAGCUUCUUUCCCUUGUCCCUUAAGGACAGUUCAGACAGGUCUUAUGACUUGUUCAGAGAACUCCCAGGCCAUGGAAAAGCAGUCACUGUAGUCACUGAAAGUUGAUACAAUGUUACAUCUCCAUGGAAGGUUGGGGCCUUCCAUGACUGGUAGCAACAAUGUGAUGGGGUGACAGGUGGAAGACAUGGUCGGGUCCUUCCUCCCUCUUGCUCUGCCUCUCCUUCCUUCUCCACUGACCAACCACUGGUGUUUGCCUUUCCUGCCCCAAUCCAGGCAGUCCCUUGGAUCUAGGAGGAUAAACUGGAUUCUGGGGGUCACUCAUCCCCCCGCCCUGCACACCUAGGAAUCCACUGGUCCACUGCCAGCUCCCCCUCUACUGAGGUCUUCCCCUCUACUGACCCUGUCCCUGGCCGAGUGGCACACAGGAGCACUCACCCAUCCUCUGUUCCACCUAUGAGAAGACUGCUUCCUGAUUCCAGUGCAGCCCUCUCUUUAGUCCCCACUAUGGAGCAGCUAGCCAGCCUACAGUUUGCAUUUUCGAUGUCCCACUCCGGAGUCAGACUUCAGGUCACUGAGUCUCCCUAGUGAUUGGGGAUAAACGUCUAGUUCUAUGAUAGGUCCUGUGCCUCUCUCCGCUUCUCCCCUUGUUUGGUGGGAGAGGAGAGAGAUGGUGACAGGCAUUAGUUUCCUGUUGCUGCUGUAACAAAGUACCACCAAAUGCAGUGGCUUAAAACAACAGUUAUUCUUUUGCAGUUCUAAAGGUCAGAAGUCUGAAAUGAACUUCACAGGAAUAAAAUCGAGGUAUUGGCAGGGCUGACUCUUUCUGGAGACUCCACGGGAGAAUCUGCUCCUUGUUUCUUCCAACUUCUAGAGGCUGCAGGGUGCCUGGCUCGUGGCGCACUCAGUCUGCUUCAGCUGUCACAUCUCCUAAUCUGUGCUCAGACCACCCUCU
rnacentral:lncRNA from 1 species